rnacentral:rRNA from 1 species
GUAAGAGAAGAUAAGAAUAGUGGUAUCCUGAGUAGGUCGGGGCACGUGAAACCUUGAUUGAAACUGGCGGGACCAUCCGCUAAGGCUAAAUACUCCUGAGAGACCGAUAGUGAACCAGUACCGUGAGGGAAAGGUGAAAAGAACCGUGAAUAACGGAGUGAAACAGAUCCUGAAACCAUACGCCUACAAGCGGUCGGAGCCCUUUUGUGGGGUGACGGCGUGCCUUUUGCAUAAUGAGCCUACGAGUUACCGUUGCUGGCAAGGAUAAGUGAUUAAGUCAUGGAUCCGUAGCGAAAGCGAGUCUUAAUAGGGCGCUUAAGUCAGUAGUGGUAGACGCGAAACCGUGUGAUCUACCCAUGGGCAGGUUGAAGUUUAGGUAACACUAAAUGGAGGACCGAACCGUUUAACGCUGAAAAGUUUUCGGAUGACCUGUGGGUAGGGGUGAAAGGCCAAUCAAACUCGGAAAUAGCUCGUACUCCCCGAAAUGCAUUUAGGUGCAGCGAUGAUCGAUAGUUACUUAGAGGUAGAGCUACUGAUUGGAUGCGGGGGCUUCACCGCCUACCAAUUCCUGACAAACUCCGAAUGCUAAGUAAUGAUAGUCAUCAGUGAGGGCAUGGGUGCUAAGGUCCAUGUCCGAGAGGGAAAGAACCCAGACCAUCAGCUAAGGUCCCCAAAUGUAUGCUAAGUUGAAAAAACGCGGUUUGAUUGCCCAGACAGCUAGGAUGUUGGCUUGGAAGCAGCCAUUCAUUUAAAGAGUGCGUAACAGCUCACUAGUCGAGCGAUCGAGCAUGGAUAAUAAUCGGGCAUAAGUAUACUACCGAAGCUAUGGAUUUGCGCAUUUAGUUGCGUGAGUGGUAGGGGAGCAUUCUAACGGCGCAGAAGGUGAUUUGUGAGAAUUGCUGGAGCUUUUAGAAAAGAAAAUGUAGGCAUAAGUAACGAUAAGGGGUGCGAGAAACACCCCCGCCGUAAGACUAAGGUUUCCUCAGCUAUGCUAAUCAGCUGAGGGUUAGUCGGGACCUAAGGCACACCCGAAGGGGGACGUCGAUGGCCAACGGGUUAAUAUUCCCGUACUACUAAUAAUUGUGAUGGAGUGACACAGUGAUGAAAGCACCGCGAACUGACGGAAUAGUUCGUUGAAGCACGUACCUAUAGGUUUGAUAGUAAAAUGCGUCAGACUUGGAGAAAUGCGAUAGUACUUUGAGUCUUCGGACAACGAGAUAGUGUGCCUAAGGGCUGUCAAGAAAAGCUUCUAAACUUAGAUUAUUAGUACCCGUACCGUAAACCGACACAGGUAGUCGAGGAGAGUAUCCUAAGGCGCUCGAGAGAUUCAUGGCUAAGGAACUAGGCAAAAUAGACCUGUAACUUCGGGAGAAAGGUCGCCAGCGCAAGCUGGCCGCAGUGAAAAGGUCCAGGCGACUGUUUAUCAAAAACACAGGGCUCUGCAAAAUCGUAAGAUGACGUAUAGGGCCUGACACCUGCCCGGUGCUGGAAGGUUAAGAGGAGAUGUUAUC